rnacentral:lncRNA from 1 species
GAGCCCUGACCCCAGACAAAUGAGUCAUGUCGACACUUUCCAAGAUGAAUGGCCACAUCCCCAGCCAUCAGGCAAACUUAGUCCUUGCAAAGUUCACAGGCUUCGUUUCCAAAUGGAGCACGAUGUGCCUGACAGAUCAAAGGGCCCUGCUCAGCCCAGGAACAGGCAGCUGCCUGUGCUGGGAAAGUCCGGUGUCUAACAGGUCACAGGUCACACCGUUCACAGCAGCGUUUUUCACGACGGCCAGAGGGUGGACGAAUGUGUUACAUGACCCCUGCCCCGAAUGUGAUAUGUACGCACAAUGGGACGUCAGUGGUCCCAGAAAUGGAAGGCACCUCGGACCCAGGGGCCACACAGCCACCCUGAGGACCUGAUGCUGAGGGAACGAGCCCCUCUCAGAAGCUCAAAUACCGUUUGAUCCCACGUGUGAGGUCUCCAGAGUCGUCAAACCUACAGAGACAGACAGUACGAUGGUGGUGCCCAGGGCAGGUGGGGGUUGGUGUUUGAUGGGGCCGGUUGACAUUUGGGAAGAUGUAAAGCUCUGCAGGUGGAUGGCAGUGAUGGCUGCACGGCAACGUGAAUGUGCUUCAUGCCACUGACCUGUGCACUUAAAAAUCAUUAAGACGGCCCGGGCAUGGGGUGGCUCACGCCUGUAAUCCCAGCACUUUGGGAGGCCAAGGUGGGCGAUUACCUGAGGUCGGGAGUUCAAAACCAGCCUGACCAACAUGGUGAAACCCUGUCUCUACUAAAAAUACAAAAUUAGCUGGGUGUGGUGGUGCAUCCCGGUAGUCCCAGCUACUUAGGAGGCUGAGGCAGGAGAAUCGCUUGAACCCUGGAGGCAAAGGUUGCAGUGAGCCGAGAUCACACCACUACAUUCCAGCCUGGGCAACAGAGUGAGACUCCAUCUCAAAAAAAAAUUGUUAAAAUGGUCAACUUUAUGUUAAAGGUAUUUUACCACAAUAAAAGCAAAGGUCACAGGCAGACCUCAUGAGUGCCCUGGAGGUGCUGUUGCCCCUGGGAUGGAAGCUCAUUAUUUUCAAAUGUUCUAUAUAUGGGGGUCUCUAUUCCGGGACAUUUGCUUAAAAAUCUCUUGGAUCAGACCCUUCUUCAGUUUUUCCUGCAAUUAUCAAUAUCUAGUUUGUUUCUAUAGUAGUUCAAUCAGCUAAGUAAAAAGCUCGAUGCUAAAUCUUGUCAAAGACAUUGCAAAUCUCCAUAGAUCGUCUGCGAAACCACAGCUUUCAUGUUUUGAGCGUAAGACCCUGGGGCUGGUGCUGUAACCCCUGCCCAGACUCUUCUGAGUUUCGGCGGCCCAGCAGGGCAGGGCCGGGCACCUGGCAGGUGGGGUCAUCCCCACAGGGCACCCCGGCCGAGGGCAGAGCUGGUUCCGCCGCAGGGUCGAUCCUGGGCUCUGGGCUGUGCACACGUCCUAUUGACACCCCGAGGACAGGACGUGCGAGUGACUCGUGAGAUUGGGCCUCCCUUGCUGAAAACUUCCCUGGUGGCUGACAGCUGCGUGGACAUUCAGCGGCCCUACCUUUUUCCGUCAGGCGCCAGCAGCCCCUCUGUGUAGAGGUGAGACAGGCCAAGCUGCAGCUUCUAGACGAGACGCCCGAAAGCAGAGAAGUACCCAGAGCAGGGACCCGGCAGCCCGGCAGUACGCUGGGCACAGUCGCAGCCCCGCCUCUUCCUUCUCCGUCUUGUUCCCUCCUUCGGUCCCAGGAGAAAGACGCUCAUCUCCCCACAUGAGAGGCUCAGUGUAGGCGUCUGGACAGGGGCCAGUCCCACAAGGCUACUGACUCCGGACCACAAAGAAGCUGGAAGCAGCAGCUCCGCCUCUGCAGCCAAUUGCAGAGCUUUUUUCUCUGUGUUCUGCCCCCACUUCCAACUCAGGACCAACCAGAGGACGCCAAACACGUCCUAUCACCAACCACCGGACACCUGAC